rnacentral:rRNA from 1 species
GACGAACGCUGGCGGCGUGCUUAACACAUGCAAGUCGAGCGGUAAGGCCCUUUCGGGGGUACACGAGCGGCGAACGGGUGAGUAACACGUGGGUGACCUGCCCUUAGCUCUGGGAUAAGCCUGGGAAACUGGGUCUAAUACCGGAUAUGACUCCAUAACGCAUGUUGUGGGGUGGAAAGCCUUGUGCGGCUAGGGAUGGGCCCGCGGCCUAUCAGCUUGUUGGUGGGGUGAUGGCCACCAAGGCGACGACGGGUAGCCGGCCUGAGAGGGCGACCGGCCACACUGGGGACUGAGACACGGCCCAGACUCCUACGGGAGGCAGCAGUGGGGAAUCUUGCGCAAUGGGCGAAAGCCUGACGCAGCGACGCCGCGUGGGGA